UUCACUUCCGAGACCAGCGAGACCCCGAACCCACCGGGAGGAAUGAACAACUCCGGAUGGGAGGGACAAACAACACCAGACGCACCGCCUUAAGAGUCCUAACGCUCACCGCGGAGGUCUGCGGCUUCACUCUUGAAUGAAGCCAGCGAGAUCACAAACCCACCAGAAGGAAGGAACUCUGAACACAUCCGAAAAUCAGAAGGAACAAACUCCGGACACACUACCUUUAAGAACUGUAACACUCAAAUCGCGAGGGUCCACGGCUUCGUUCUUGAAGUCAGUGAGACCAAGAACCCACAAAUUCCGGACACUUCCCCACACAGAGGGAACUGGCCUAACACUCUUCAAGGAACUCAAGCGCUCUUGUUGUCUUCCUGGGCAGGUGGUGCCAAUAGGAUGUACUGACAGAUCAGAAGUGGUCGUGAGAGAAGGAGCAAGUAGCCAGAAGAGUGAAGUGUGCACUGGCUGAGAUGUGGGAGCAGGUGUUGUUGGUUUCCCCGGAGUAAGUUACCUUGAGUGAGUUAAGGUUAAGAUAUCCCAGGGGUGAGGUUGAGCAGGCAGUUGUGUAUGUGACCCUGGGGAAAGUCUAGCUGAAGAUACAAAGAUGGGAUGAGAUCACCAAGGAGUAAGUGUCUUUAGCAAAGAGAAGAGACCAAGGACUGAAUCUGGAUACCUCAACAUUUGGAGUCAGAGCCUGAAAAG
rnacentral:lncRNA from 1 species